GACAUCAAGAAACUAGUGAUUAUG
rnacentral:miRNA from 1 species